AAAGAAAAGAAAAAAGUUAGAGUUUUUAUAUUUGUAAUUGGGUGCUAUGAUAUUAUCUUUUAAUAUGUUUUUCUGUAUAAGUUAAAGAAAUAAAAUACAUUAGAAUUUGUAUGUGCACUUGUUCAAAUGUGUGAAGCAAAUUAGGUGACAGGGCAAAAGCAAGAAAAUGGAAUUCAAAUUAAAUCCACAUCUCAGAGCAGGUUCUAUUUAAUUUCUCCAUAUUUGCUAUUAUAAAUAUUUUAUUUUCAUGUAUGAGUUUCUUGCUAGAGAUGAUAAGUGGCUGCCAACCUAACUUCUAAUUCUUAGACACACAUUUUACCAACAAACCCACUCACUUUAGUAUAUGCUAUGUACAGGGCCCCAAAAAGUCUACCAUCCCAGAUCUCCUUUAGCUGUUAUUCAAGUAGUAUUAUUUCUUUUGUGUUUCUACCUGACGCUUCAUCUUGGGUUCAGUCUUUGGAUCUUUUUACUCGAAGCUUGUGUUUGGCUUCCUGAUAUUUAAAUCUCUGCUCAACCUGAUUGUCUUUGAUUUAGAUUCACUUCUUCACAGCUUAGAACCCACUGAUUACAGCAGUUCACAAAUCCCUGGCACAACCACUGACUGACUACCUCAAGAGGAAAGAUCUGUCCCAAAUACAAGCCCUGUAUUAUAUACAUCCAUUUAUUCAUCUGCUCCACAGAUUUUUGCUCAUUAUCUACUGUGUAUAAGGCACUGUAGAAGUUUUUUGCAGAUAAGAAUAACUACAGAAACUCCUUAAGGUCCUUAAAAUCUAUAGGACAAAUAAUAUCAUGAUAAUUUAAGAUAAUGUGCUCAAUUAUUAUGAAGUUAUAUAUACAAACAGGGGAGUAAUUAACAAAAGCUUCUAAUAGAAAGAUUCUUAACCAGGAAGUUAAGGAGCAUGAGGUGUGAGGGGGCAUUAUCAACUAGAACCCGGAUUAUUGGGUUAUAGAUUGAAAAAGACUAAGAACACUGACAGAUGGCAACUUAACUAGACUUUGAACUCAGGGUAGGGGAGACACCAUGGGACAAAUAUAGUCCAAAAAAUGGAACCAGUAAGGUCACAAAAAGCUUACAUUGUGUUAAACCUUAUUUGUCCAGACUAAUUGACAGUGUGAGGAGUGACAGCAAACCUAGGAAAAUUGAUUAGAACCAGGUCAUGGAAGGUUUUGAAUACUGAAGAGUUUAGAGUUGGGAGGCAUGUAUUGGGGAAUCCAGAUAUUAUGAGAAGGAAAUGAUGAUUGAGUUGAUUGAGUGGUAUACAGGAAGGAUUUGGUGGUGGGGAAAAAGGCAGGCAGAGACUGAAGACAAAGUAGUGAGGGCCAAGAGGUGAAGACUUUAUUCAUUUCUAAGUAUCUGACAUGUGUGAGGCACUGUGUUGGUGCUGAGGACACAAUGAGGACUUGGUCCUUGCUAUGAGGGAGUUUUCAGUGUAGUGAGAGACAUUACUAUCUUAAAGGCUUUAAGAGGGGUGUUUAUGCAAAAUUUUAGUACUCCACUUCUGACCUUUGCCUGGGUGGUAGGGGAUUAAGUCCUUAUUUUAUAAUGACAUAUAUUCCCUACCCUCUGAAAUUACUUUUAUAUUUUUGAAUUGGCUAAGGCAAAAUUAUCCCAACUACCUCCAUAUAAAUAAAAGUAAUUUAUUAUCCAAAAUGAGUUAAGAUAAUAAUACUGCACCAGACAGCCAAAGAAGAAAAUGUCAUAUCUUAAAGAGAUAACUGAAGAUCAUGUGGAGAGCAAACUGGAGAUUUUUUUUUAAGGGCAAGAAAACCAGUUAGGAGGCUGUUGUAGUAAUCCACCUAUUUGAUUGUGAGUACCUCAACCAAGACUGUAUGAAAAGAAAAGGAGUCCUUUGUGACUACUUUUACCAUAAUUCUUUGUAUCAUUCCUCAGGUACAAAUAGGGGAUGGAUAGGUGACUCUGGCUUGGAUUCAAACAGAGAGUGUCAAAAACCUAAGAAACACUCAAUUUACUUCUUCAGACUUAGAAGUAAUGCUCUUACAGUCAAGUAGUCUCUUUUCUGGGUGAUUUCUUACUUGGAGCAUGGUUCUGCAACCUUAACCUUGACCUGAUUCUGUGAGCUACCUGAUAAAUUCUUGGUUUUACUAUAGUUGACCCAAAUUGGUUCCUAGGACUUUUGGUCAAAACCCCCAAUCAACACUGUAAAUGAUAUUUAAGAAUGGACUUAUGGAAAAUGUUUGACAGUUUGAAAUAUGGAACUAGAAGUGUGGUUCUCAAGGUGUGGUCACUGAUGCAAGAUCAGUAUCACCUGACAACUUGGUAGAAAUGCAGAUUCUCAGGACCUAACCCAGACUUUUGGAAUAUAAAUCUCUAGGAGUGGGGACCUAGCAAUCUGAAUAUUAACAAGCAUUGAUGCUGCUAACUUAAGACUGGAACCUCUAUAACUAUGGGCCAAAAUAAACCUCUUAACUUUGUAUGUUAAUUGCAUCAGGUUUUUAAUUAUAGUGAUGGAAAGCUGACUAAGACAAUAGAUCAGAGAAUUAACCUGUAAAAAGGAGGACACUUCUGGGAAUGGAAAGAAGGGAAUUUGAUUUGAUUUGAUAUAGUAAAUUAAAAUACUAGAUAUCUAGUUAAAGUUUAAUUUUAGAUAAAGAGUGAAUACUUUUUUAGUAUUAUUAAGUAUGUCUCUCUCACGCAAUAUUUGGUACAUUUCGUGUUUUAUCUUAAAUAUAAAUUGACUAUUUCUAUGAUAUGAUAUUUGGUAUAUACUUAUACAGUAUUCCUUGAUUAUUUGAAGUUCCAGUUUAACUGGGUAUCCUGUAUUUUAUCUGAAAACCCUACUUUGGAUAGUUUUAAAAAUAAAUCCAUGGGCUGGGGAUGUGGCUCAAGCGGUAACUCGCUCGCCUGGCAUGUGCGAGGCAAUGGGUUCGAUCCUCAGCACCACAUAAAAAUAAAGAUGUUGUGUCCACCAAAAACUGAAAAAUAAAUAUUAAAAAAUAUUCUCUCCCCCCCCCUCCUUAAAAUAAAUAAAUAAAUAAAUCCAUGGUGAAAUAAUCUGAAAAGGAAUACAAAAGUAUACUGGGGGAUUUAGUCCUGGAAAAAAAAAAUUGGAACAGCUGUUCUGGAUGCUGAGUUGUAGUGGAUACCCAGUUAAAAACAGGCAGCAUGAUUUUUUUUUUUCUUGGAUUAAAUCAGCAGUAAUGUUUCACUUGUUGGAAGAAGUAAUAGAGAUUUCUAUUACAGGGACCCUUUUAUUUGACUUCAGGAGAGCCGUGGGCAGGAGAUUCAGGCGUAAUUGAAAUGAUUAGGGUCCAAGCUGUUCAGGAAGGCAGUUGAAAUCAGAAAAGUAAUUGGCAAAGACUUGAGAGUCUAGCAGUCACAACGAGUCAGAGAAGUGAAAGUUCACAAACAAACUAAUAAUUUAUAGCCUUAGAAGAAUAGUUCUAUAUAAUAAUGGGGUUAAAAAUCUUAUUUCAUAUUAUAGAACUAGAGCUAAAUUAAAAGUAACAGCUCUGAAGAUAGGAUCUGGUUUUGAAUUCUGGUUGUGUGAUCUUGGUCAAUUAAUUUAACUUCCUUCUGCCUUAGCUUUUAUUUGUAAAAUGGGAAUAAUAUUCUUACUUCAUAUACUUCAUAGGUUUAUUGUUCAGAGUAAGUGAAACAAGCCUUGUGAAAUAACUAGUACAAUAUGUUUGUUGGAUAGUAAGCCCUCAAAUAUUUGUGCUUUUUUUAAACUAUUUUAAAUAUAAUUAAAUAUAUCUAUAGUCAAUAAAUGUAAGUGACUUAGAGAAUGUUAUUUUAAAGAAAAAUGGUGUGGUAUACAUUGUGAAUUUCCUCCUUAGAUAGAAAAUGUUGUUUGGUAAAUACAUACACAAUUAUCUACCUGUCAAAGUUGAAACCCAUGCAUUUAAGGUUGUUUUCUUAACUCUUAAGAAAAUAAUUAUGCUCAAGCCAUAUCUGUCUCAUUUGCCCCUAGGUGACCAUGCUUUGGGAUUUUCAUAGUUUGAAUAAUUCCUAUGGGCUCUGCCACCCACCAAGUUAAAGAAGACAAGAUUUCUCCCAGGGGGUUGUAUUGUGGGAAUGUGAGCAGCUUGUUUUAAUGAGAUCUGUGUCUUCGUCUUGUCUCCUGUUAGGAGCUCUGGCGGUGGUUAUAUUGUUUUUGAUUGUUGUUUCUUACAUCUUUCUCAGAUUUUUAAAUUUAUUUACAUAUAAAGAAAUGUUUUUGAAAAAUGAAUGUUUUAUGGGGACAUUUUGCUUAUACAAAGAAGAAUUAAAGCUAUUUUAAAGUAAUUA
rnacentral:lncRNA from 1 species